GAAACACUUGCUUUAUAUGACUACACAUGUUUAUAAAGUUUCAUGCAAAUAUCACUUCAUGUCGUCUUGCCUUUUGUUUUAAAUGCCACUUCACUUUAUCGUCAAGCAAAAGUAUAUUUUAUGCCUGCUGUCCGCAAAGUUGCAGCCCAUAAAAACAGCCAGUCGAGUCUGAGAAGUCAAGUUGAUUCUCGUGCUAGCAAUUUGAGGAAUGGCCAUUCAAACAUAGCAUCGCCGAUCUCUGUUAGAGCAGGUGACAGUACACAGAAUAUCAAAGGCUUCAUUUAUCAUCAAGACUGUCCAAUGACUCCCAUGUUUACAGCGAUCGGCUUUGAACUGUUUUAUUUAUUCUACGGACUCCUUGCUUUGCUAACGCAAUAUGUGAACAUUUACAAAACGAAUUACCAUUUGAUUGACUACCAAGAGGUUCUGGUGAUUGCUCUGUUUCUCAUGAGAAGAAUUGGAUGGAUUGUUUUCAAACAGGUUUUGUAUAUCAAGGAAAUCACAUCAUUACGGAUUGUUUUAGUUACAUUGUUAAAAGGACUUGGACUUGUUGGUUUAUUGGCUUGUUUUAUCUGGCUAAUACUUCAACUCUAUCGAACACACAAUCAUGAGACAUCCUGCGUUUCUGUAUCCAACGAUGACGUAUUUGUGGGUGUUUGGAUUCACAAUGGAACUGAAGCUGCAAAAAAUUCAACCGAAAGUCACGCAUCAAAUCCCCCAGUCGUACAAGAAAAGUACGUUGCGAGAUUCAGGCAACACGGACGGAGAGACAUUGCCCAGGAUGAGUCAUUGUUCAUUGUCACCAGAUGUGGUACGAUACGAGGCCGAGGGACACAGAGUAGAUUUUAAUUUUAAGAUGAAGAGAGCGUUGUUUCAGUCGUUUAUUUGCGCGUAUUACGUGGGCUUCAUUCCUAUGAGAUUUUCAAAACGUUUUUAUGUGUAUUAUGAUUUGUGGUGGUCAUGUCAACAUGUUGUAUUUAUAUGGAUUGGCUCCCUCAUACUGCUCAUGAAAUACCUGGCU
rnacentral:misc_RNA from 1 species